AUAGUGUCUGUUGCGUGAUUUGUACAGUAAAACCUGCAUAGACUUUCACCCUUAGAGUUCUUACUAAUUGCAAAAAUGCCACCGCUUACAUUACAACCAUAUAUGCGCAAAAGGCCACGUCUCUGUGCUCCACGCUACUGCAUUUGUACUCUGAAGUGAAGCUUCUCUCCAAAGCUGGGAUUUAAAAUUCAAAAUCUGAACUUUUGACCUAAUUUUCAUCAUUGAUGGCACUCAGAAGCUACAUCGGCUUUCCUUCUUAUUUCCUCCAUGGCAAAGUUGAAUUUUGUCGGGAAACUGUUCGAUGAUUUGUCCAAAAGAACAAGUUCGAUGAAUAUAUCAAUAUUCAGGAUAGCUUUAUAUUUUUAAUGGCGUUUAAUAUGGUUGGUGUUGGACCUUCACUUGCUAAUGCCUUCCGUAGAAUUCUUAUAGCUUAGGUAAGCCUUUUUCUGUUAUUUUUUUUGUAUAUACUGGAUUUAGUUGGUAUAUGUAAAGGUCAUUUUACCAUGCUGAUUAGUUAGGUUUUAGUGUUAUUUCAUUGUUUCUAUGUGCAGCUUUCUAUAUGUGGACAUUUUUAUUUCUUAUAUGUUGAUGCAUCUUGAUACCUUGAUAACUUAUAGGAGUGCUAAGCAUGUGUGGACAUUAUUUUCAUAUAAUAUACCAUAUAUGUUCUUCAUAAUUUUUUUAAAAUUAUUUUGACUUGCACACUGAUUGUAGGAGUUCCCGAAUCGAAUCUGUGCUUUAAGUAUAUCUCUUGCAAAUUUUGAUGUUGGUGUUAUAGGUCAUUAGCUGGGGAAAAUUUAUUGUCACAAGCCACGUCCAGGUACUUUAAUUGCUUUGUCAAAAUUGGAUAUUGUGGGUGAAUUAAUAGCUGGAGGUUCGGUAUAUUUCUUUGUGGUUCUAUACUUUUAUGUUUUUUCAAAUGGCACAUGAUUAUUAAUCAAUUUAUUUGUAAACAAAUUUCACUGAAUUAAGUUAGCUCUAUUAAUUUCUUGACUCAGAUGAUAAUAUAGUGUCACUGUCAGGAACGUGGAAUUGAGUUGCUACUGCAUGUUUCAUCUAUUAUAUCUUAGAUGACUAUUGCUGUAUUUUAGUCAUUUCAUUUGCUUAUGCGUCACUUCCAGGGCAGUAGGCUUGAAAGUUGAAACAUAGCACUCACGUUCAUAUGUAUGGUUGUUAUUAUUGCUGAUAGUAUUUUACAUAUGCAGGUCCCAGUUAGAGUUGCUGGAGGACUACUAUUUGAACUUUUAGGCCAGUCAGCAGGUGAUCCAUUUGCUCCUGAAAUACACACGACUAAUGGCUCAGUAUAUAGUUUUUUGCUCUAUUAUUAUACUUAAAUAUAACACAUCUUAAAGUUUUGCAGUAUUAGAGAAACUAUACUUUACACAAGAGUAUAAUAUUGUCUUUUCUUUACUUAUGUUGGUAUGUUAUUACAUGGGAACCAGGGCUGAUUCAUUAAUAUUAUCUGUUCCACCACCUAAAAAUAUUGACGGUUAAUUAGCUAAUUCAUGUUGCCUCAUUUCGUGGCGUUUAUUCAACUCUGAAGAUAUGAUUCAGGGUAUAGUACUUUCCUACUCAACUCCGAUUUGAAUGUUGCCUCAUUCUUCUUAGCUUAGGUAUUGUCUCUAGCUUUACUUUUAGGUUACAAAGUGCUUAAACAAAGAAAGACAGCAAGAAAUGUUAAGAGAUGAUGGUUUCAAGAAAACAGAGCCACAUGGUUUACGUUUGAACAGUUCAGAAGCCUCAGAAUUCUCUUCCAACAGCUCAGAAUUCUCUUCCAACAACUCAGCAUGCAAUAAUCUGAUGCCCUGUACAUAGUUGUUUCAUGAGUGCUGUCAAAUAUAUAAACUGUUAUACAUUGUCAUACUAUGAUCUUUAAUUACAUUUAUCUAUCUAUAUAAUAGUUUCUGAUCCGCGUUUUGUACAUUAAACUCAUGCUAAGUAAAUGACCCCUGCUUUCCUUCUAAUUUUAUUCUCCCUUUAUCUGUUUGAAUUUUUUUAAUUUGAAAGCCCUGCAACGCGGGCAUCAAUACUCUUUUUAAUUUUUUAGUUAGUGGUUUCAUGAAUACAGAGCCGCAAGAAUUUUUUGUGAACAAUUGCAGGUUAAACUUUCGUUGAUAAACUUGAUGAUUUGCCCAACAGAAAAAAUAUGGUAAAUUUGUCAAUUUUAGGUCUUUUUAUUUAAACGAUACACUAACUUUUUCAUACUAUGUUUAUUGAUGUUCAUGAUUUGAUAGUUAUUACAGCAGAGUCUGUUGGUUUGAAAGCAUGGUUUUGUGGUGGUAGUACAAAUGGAGCUCAUGUAUAUGCUAAUUAUUUAUAUCAUGUUACUCAAUAUUUCCCCAGUGAGAAAUAAUUUGCCUUCUUUACCUCCCAGGAUAGUGUUAUCUGAACCAAAUAAUAUAAUUGUAAUAGGUUUUGUGGAUGGUGCGAAUUGGAGGAGGUGUCUUCCCUGUCAUCAAGGAACUUGAUUAUCUUGUGAAUGGCGAGUAUCGAGUUGACAAAGGGGCAGCUCCAAAGAUGUUGAACUGUCUCAUGUUUGUAAUGGUUCUUCGUCAGUUAUACCUUUUUAGUUGAAGGUUCUAAUUCAAACAGGCAGCCACGCCUACAUCAGACCAGCUGCUCCCUCGGUAGUAGAAUCAGGAGCUCCCCCUGCUGUGGAACCAGAAGCUUCUACAUCUGCAGAAUCAGGAGUUCCCCCUCGAGCAGAAACAAGGGAAGAAUCAAGCGCGCUUGCAAUAGAAUCAGUAACUCUGCCUACCUCAGAGAAGUGAUGCAUCAAUACUUGAUAAUCUAAUUAGAGAUUGUACCGAUUAUGACUAUUAAGGCAUAGCUGGAAACUAUAAGGGUCAACUAAUUGAGGCUACUAGAGUGAUAUUUAAUGGAGCAUUGAAGCACAUUAUGCAUAAGCAGUUGCUGUCCGGAGAGUGCUUAGCUGGCUUAAACAACAAGCGACAGAGGAGGAAAAAGAACACGAAAAUACAGUACAAUUACACAACCUCACGGUUCAUAGCUGGAAACUAAAGGGUGAACCAAUUGAGGCUACUAUAGUGAUGUUUAAUGGAGCAUUGAAGCACAUUAUGCAUAAGCAGUUGGUGUCCGGAGCGGAGAGUGCUUAGCUGGGCUUAUGCAACAAGCCAUAGAGGAGGAAAAGAACACCAAAGUACAGUACAAUCAGACCUCCUCAUGGUAAUCCAGGCCAUGAAUAGGUCAUAACAAGUUUUGGUGUAAAUAGAAUGCAAAUGAAAUAAGUUGUCAAGAUUUAUUUUACAUUUAUGAACAAAAUUUAAUUGAUGACCGUGUUUUGUUUUGUUAACUCUGUAUUGUUAUAACUUAUAUAGCUGGACAUAUCAUAUAAAAUAUUUUGGUGUUUUAUAUAGUAAU